rnacentral:rRNA from 1 species
GAAUGCUGACAUAAGUAACGAUAAAGCGGGUGAAAAGCCCGCUCGCCGGAAGACCAAGGGUUCCUGUCCAACGUUAAUCGGGGCAGGGUGAGUCGACCCCUAAGGCGAGGCCGAAAGGCGUAGUCGAUGGGAAACGGGUUAAUAUUCCCGUACUUGGUGUUACUGCGAAGGGGGGACGGAGAAGGCUAUGUUGGCCGGGCGACGGUUGUCCCGGUUUAAGCGUGUAGGUGUGUGUUCCAGGUAAAUCCGGUUCACUUUAACACUGAGGCGUGAUGACGAGGCACUACGGUGCUGAAGCAACAAAUGCCCUGCUUCCAGGAAAAGCCUCUAAGCAUCAGGUAACAUCAAAUCGUACCCCAAACCGACACAGGUGGUCAGGUAGAGAAUACCAAGGCGCUUGAGAGAACUCGGGUGAAGGAACUAGGCAAAAUGGUGCCGUAACUUCGGGAGAAGGCACGCUGACACGUAGGUGAAGUGAUUUACUCAUGGAGCUGAAGUCAGUCGAAGAUACCAGCUGGCUGCAACUGUUUAUUAAAAACACAGCACUGUGCAAACACGAAAGUGGACGUAUACGGUGUGACGCCUGCCCGGUGCCGGAAGGUUAAUUGAUGGGGUCAGCGCAAGCGAAGCUCCUGAUCGAAGCCCCGGUAAACGGCGGCCGUAACUAUAACGGUCCUAAGGUAGCGAAAUUCCUUGUCGGGUAAGUUCCGACCUGCACGAAUGGCGUAAUGAUGGCCAGGCUGUCUCCACCCGAGACUCAGUGAAAUUGAACUCGCUGUGAAGAUGCAGUGUACCCGCGGCAAGACGGAAAGACCCCGUGAACCUUUACUAUAGCUUGACACUGAACAUUGAGCCUUGAUGUGUAGGAUAGGUGGGAGGCUUUGAAGCGUGGACGCCAGUCUGCGUGGAGCCGACCUUGAAAUACCACCCUUUAAUGUUUGAUGUUCUAACGUGGACCCGUAAUCCGGGUUGCGGACAGUGUCUGGUGGGUAGUUUGACUGGGGCGGUCUCCUCCUAAAGAGUAACGGAGGAGCACGAAGGUUGGCUAAUCCUGGUCGGACAUCAGGAGGUUAGUGCAAUGGCAUAAGCCAGCUUGACUGCGAGCGUGACGGCGCGAGCAGGUGCGAAAGCAGGUCAUAGUGAUCCGGUGGUUCUGAAUGGAAGGGCCAUCGCUCAACGGAUAAAAGGUACUCCGGGGAUAACAGGCUGAUACCGCCCAAGAGUUCAUAUCGACGGCGGUGUUUGGCACCUCGAUGUCGGCUCAUCACAUCCUGGGGCUGAAGUAGGUCCCAAGGGUAUGGCUGUUCGCCAUUUAAAGUGGUACGCGAGCUGGGUUUAGAACGUCGUGAGACAGUUCGGUCCCUAUCUGCCGUGGGCGCUGGAGAACUGAGGGGGGCUGCUCCUAGUACGAGAGGACCGGAGUGGACGCAUCACUGGUGUUCGGGUUGUCAUGCCAAUGGCACUGCCCGGUAGCUAAAUGCGGAAGAGAUAAGUGCUGAAAGCAUCUAAGCACGAAACUUGCCCCGAGAUGAGUUCUCCCUGAGACUUAGAGUCUCCUGAAGGAACGUUGAAGACGACGACGUUGAUAGGCCGGGUGUGUAAGCGCAGCGAUGCGUUGAGCUAACCGGUACUAAUGAACCGU